CGUGUAGGCGGCCCGGUAAGUCUGCUGUGAAAACCCGGGGCUCAACCCCGAGCGUGCAGUGGAAACUGCCGGGCUAGAGGGCGGCAGAGGCGAGUGGAAUUCCAUGUGUAGCGGUGAAAUGCGUAGAUAUAUGGAGGAACACCGGUGGCGAAAGCGGCUCUCUGGCCUGUAACUGACACUGAGGCUCGAAAGCGUGGGGAGCAAACA
rnacentral:rRNA from 1 species